rnacentral:rRNA from 1 species
AUUGAACGCUGGCGGCAGGCCUAACACAUGCAAGUCGAGCGAGCGGCGGACGGGUGAGUAAUGUAUGGGGACUGCCCGAUAGGGGGGGAUAACUACUGGAAACGGUGGCUAAUAACGCAUACUAUCGGAUAACCCAUAUUGGAUUAGCUAGUAGGUGGGGUAAAGGCUCACCUAGGCGACGAUCUCUAGCUGGUCUGAGAGGCUGAUCAGCCACACGGGGCCUGAGACACGGCCCAGACUCCGACGGAGGCAGCAUUGGGGAACAUUGCACAAUGGGCGAAAUCCUGAUGAAGCAAUGCCGCGUGUAUGAAGAAGUCCUUAGGUUUGUAAAGUACUUUCAGCGGGGAGGCGUUACCCGCAGAAUAAGCACCGGCUAACUCCGUGCCAGCAGCCGCGGUAAUUC